rfam:Ictidomys tridecemlineatus contig106200, whole genome shotgun sequence.
GGGGGUAUAGCUCAGUUGGUAGAGUGCUUGCCUGCCAUGUACAAGGCCUUGGGUUCGAUUCCCAGCACCACAC